rnacentral:tRNA from 1 species
AGGGGUAUAGCCAAGUGGUAAGGCAGCGGGUUUUGAUCCCGCCACGCCCUGGUUCGAACCCAGGUACCCCUGCCA